rnacentral:rRNA from 1 species
GCGUGCUUAACACAUGCAAGUCUAUUUGAAGUUGGAAGCUUGCUUCCGGCGGAGGAUGGCGAACGGGUGAGUAACGCGUAGACAACCUGCCCUUCAAUCUGGGACAACCCUGUGAAAACGGGACUAAGACCGGAUGGUAUCUCUUUCUCGCAUGAGAUUGAGAUUAAAGAUCUCGAAUCGUUGAAGGAUGGGUCUGCGUGACAUUAGCUAGUUGGUAGGGUAACGGCUUACCAAGGCUAUGAUGUCUAGCUGGUCUGAGAGGAUGAUCAGCCACACUGGGACUGAGAUACGGCCCAGACUCCUACGGGAGGCAGCAGUGAGGAAUAUUGCGCAAUGGGGGCAACCCUGACGCAGCAACGCCGCGUGUACGAAGACGCAGUUAUCUGUGUAAAGUACUGUUAAUCGGGACGAAGGAGUUUGUUAGCAGCAGACUUUGACUGUACCGGUAGAGGAAGCUCCGGCUAACUCCGUGCCAGCAGCCGCGGUAAUACGGGGGGAGCGAGCGUUGUCCGGAAUCAUUGGGCGUAAAGGGCAUUCAGGUGGGUCUUUAAGUCAGUUGUUAAAUAUUACGGCUUAACCGUAUUAUGCAAUUGAUACUGGAGAUCUUGAGUUUGAGAGGGGACAGUGGAAUACCUAGUGUAGCGGUGGAAUGCGUAGAUAUUAGGUAGAACACCCGAGGCGAAGGCGACUGUCUGGCUCAUAACUGACACUGAAGUGCGAAAGCAUGGGUAGCAAACAGGAUUAGAUACCCUGGUAGUCCAUGCCGUAAACGAUGGGUACUAGUUGUCGGGGAACUAACCCCCUCGGUGGCGUCGCUAACGCUUUAAGUACCCCGCCUGGGGAGUACGAUCGCAAG